GAUGAAGAACGUAGCGAACGUGCGAAACGUAAUGUGAAUUGCAGAAUUCAGUGAAUCAUCGAAUCUUUGAACGCAUCUUGCGCUCCUUGGUAUUCCGAGGAGCAUGCCUGUUUGAGUGUCGUGAAUACUCUCAACUUCAACCCUUUUUUCGGAAAGGGAGGAAGGUUGGACUUGGGUGUUUGUUGAAGUGCGAGCUUCGACUCAUCCUAAAUGCAUUAGCGAUCUGCCUCGAUCACACACAAUGUGAUAAUUAAAACUAAAGCAUUGUUUAAUGAUCAAGUCGAGACUGCUUCUAACUGUCGCAAGACAAUAACGUGCAUACAUUUGUGCAUGUCAUUUGACCUCAAAUCAGGUAGGACUACCCGCUGAACUUAAGCAUAUCAAUAAGCGGGGA
rnacentral:misc_RNA from 1 species